GUUUCCUAGUUAUAUUUGUGUUGGUUUCAGAGUACAGGUAGCAAUAGAAAGUGUUGGUCGAUUGUGGCUUAUAGACAAAGGGAGGAGUAACCAACAAUACGAAUAUGGGAGACCUUCCCCAGGAUAAAUUUGACUUGGAUUUGAGUGUUCCAUACAUUUCCUAUGCCGUUGACGACAUGAUCAAAGAGCAAUUCAAGGAGUAACGUUCCCUGUUACACAAGCGGUACAAGCAGUGCAUGAGCCACGAGGAGGCCACACUGUCCGCACCACCGCACAUGACCGAUGACGACUGGCGGAUACUCUGCGAUAGAUUUUCGUCUGAUUCUUUUCAGGUAAUAUUUACAUAUUUACGAUAUCUUAAGGUAACAAUUAAAUUCACAAUUAAUAACAAUUUAUUAUGAAUAAUGUGUUCAGAAGAGGAGCAAAAUAAAUUCUGAUAAUAGGAAAAAGUUAGAAGUGAACCACGUAGCUGGUUCAAAGUCAUUUGCAGAAAUUCGUCACAACAUGCGAGAUUCCGUCACUAGCCAGGAGCCCGGACCAAUAGACCUCUACAAAGGGACUCACUUUCGACAGGCGACGGGAUCUUGGGUACAUCCUAGAGCCGGCGAGAUUUGGAUAAAAAUUCCUACAUUGUA